rnacentral:rRNA from 1 species
GAUGAACGCUGGCGGCGUGCUUAACACAUGCAAGUCGAACGGAAAGGCCCCUGCUUGCGGGGGUCCUCGAGUGGCGAACGGGUGAGUAACACGUGGGUGAUCUGCCCUGCACUUCGGGAUAAGCCUGGGAAACUGGGUCUAAUACCGGAUAGGACCACAUUCUGGAUGGUGUGGUGGAAAGUUUUUCGGUGUGGGAUGAGCUCGCGGCCUAUCAGCUUGUUGGUGGGGUAAUGGCCUACCAAGGCGUCGACGGGUAGCCGGCCUGAGAGGGUGUACGGCCACAUUGGGACUGAGAUACGGCCCAGACUCCUACGGGAGGCAGCAGUGGGGAAUAUUGCACAAUGGGCGCAAGCCUGAUGCAGCGACGCCGCGUGGGGGAUGACGGCCUUCGGGUUGUAAACUCCUUUCGCUAGGGACGAAGCGCAAGUGACGGUACCUGGAGAAGAAGCACCGGCUAACUACGUG